UAAUAUAAAGACACAAAAAUCAUAAUAAAUCAAUUAAAAUGUAAUGUCAACCAACAUUGAAUCCAAAAUAUUUCAUCAACACACAAAUAAAUGACAUUCACCAAGUAUGAUUAUAUCUAAAGUUAAAAAACAUGACUCUUUAUUCCCGUGAAUUAGAUACGUGCUGAUUCUCACCAAAGUUAUUCUCUUCAUCCUCAAUAGCAUCAUUUUUCCCAUUUCCAUUAUUCUCUAUUGACAAUGGUAUAAAUGGUGGUACAAUGAAACCCAGAACUUUACCACAUAAUUGUUGUAUAGAAUGAUGCCAAGAUUGUAAUGUAGGAUUGAAUUGUUGCUCAACAACCUUUAGCUUGUUUUACAUAUUUUGCUCCAUGUUUACUCGAGCUGCAUUUGCUAUCUUACGAGCAGAACGUUCUGUUUCCAACUCCUUCUCCAAAUCGUGUACAUUGGAAGAAGAUAUCCCAUUUCUCGUAACCCAAGAAUUUGAUGACCUUUUGGAUAGAUUUUCUCACUUGAAGUAGUUAUCUAUUUGGAAUGUAUACCAAACAUUUUCUUCAAUAUCUCAAGAACCUAACCAAAAUAAUCAUUCAAAUACCAGUAAAUUACACCAGUAAAGCAGGGCUUGUAACAAAUAAAUGCUCAAGACUCAGAAGGCAGCAGCAAAAAGCAGGGAAGACCACAAACGAUAUCAAAUUAGUAUUAUUCAUAUUGAGGUACACUAGGUAAAAAAAUAUAUGGGCCUGUUACAAUGCAUUAUCUAUACUGAACACCAUCACCAUUAGCUAUGCCUUCAGUUAUGUUACCACAACAAUGCUCUCAUCAGAUGUGUAGCUCAUACUCUUUAAAACAUGUCUAAACAUUCUUGGAAAUAAGAUAAGGAAUGAUUUACAUUAGAACGGAGUUAUCCAUCUAUUGAAAAUUCUACUUGAAAUUAUCUAAUUUGAUUUAUAUUAGAACGGAGUUACAUUAGAUAUUUUCCUGAAAUCCUCAGAAUGAGUAUUGUGCUAGUGGACAUUUAAUUUACAUUUUCUUAGCUAAUUUCCCUUGAUGAACCAAAUUAGCUUAUUACCAGGAUCUUGUUCAUAAAAUAUAUUUUCAACUCACAAAAACCAUUUAGCUGAAAACUGAAACCGUUCCUCAAAUUUCACUUCUCAUAUAUAAUUAAGAAGCACACGAAAGUUCCAACUGAGCAAUGAAACUUUGAUCCCCAUUUUUUGUAGCUGUGGUUGCCUAAAGGUUCUCCUUUUGAACUUUCCAAAACAUUUCAUUGAAGAGAUUUCUGAUAAUCAAAAAAGAAAACUGCAUUCAUACGUAUGCCUUUGAAUACCAAAGAAGAUUUAUAGCAGUUCCAAUAUGAUUGCUCUAUGUGCACGCGCAGUUAUCAGAAAUCAGCAAG
rnacentral:lncRNA from 1 species